rnacentral:rRNA from 1 species
CUAUACAUGCAAGUCGAGCGGACAGAUGGGAGCUUGCUCCCUGAUGUUAGCGGCGGACGGGUGAGUAACACGUGGGUAACCUGCCUGUAAGACUGGGAUAACUCCGGGAAACCGGGGCUAAUACCGGAUGGUUGUUUGAACCGCAUGGUUCAGACAUAAAAGGUGGCUUCGGCUACCACUUACAGAUGGACCCGCGGCGCAUUAGCUAGUUGGUGAGGUAACGGCUCACCAAGGCGACGAUGCGUAGCCGACCUGAGAGGGUGAUCGGCCACACUGGGACUGAGACACGGCCCAGACUCCUACGGGAGGCAGCAGUAGGGAAUCUUCCGCAAUGGACGAAAGUCUGACGGAGCAACGCCGCGUGAGUGAUGAAGGUUUUCGGAUCGUAAAGCUCUGUUGUUAGGGAAGAACAAGUGCCGUUCAAAUAGGGCGGCACCUUGACGGUACCUAACCAGAAAGCCACGGCUAACUACGUGCCAGCAGCCGCGGUAAUACGUAGGUGGCAAGCGUUGUCCGGAAUUAUUGGGCGUAAAGGGCUCGCAGGCGGUUUCUUAAGUCUGAUGUGAAAGCCCCCGGCUCAACCGGGGAGGGUCAUUGGAAACUGGGGAACUUGAGUGCAGAAGAGGAGAGUGGAAUUCCACGUGUAGCGGUGAAAUGCGUAGAGAUGUGGAGGAACACCAGUGGCGAAGGCGACUCUCUGGUCUGUAACUGACGCUGAGGAGCGAAAGCGUGGGGAGCGAACAGGAUUAGAUACCCUGGUAGUCCACGCCGUAAACGAUGAGUGCUAAGUGUUAGGGGGGUUUCCGCCCCUUAGUGCUGCAGCUAACGCAUUAAGCACUCCGCCUGGGGGAGUACGGUCGCAAGACUGAAACUCAAAGGAAUUGACGGGGGGCCCGCACAAGCGGUGGAGCAUGUGGUUUAAUUCGAAGCAACGCGAAGAACCUUACCAGGUCUUGACAUCCUCUGACAAUCCUAGAGAUAGGACGUCCCCUUCGGGGGGCAGAGUGACAGGUGGUGCAUGGGUUGUCGUCAGCUCGUGUCGUGAGAUGUUGGGUUAAGUCCGCAACGAGCGCACCUUGAUCUUAGUUGCCAGCAUUCAGUUGG